GCCCUUAGAGUUUGAUCAUGGCUCAGGACGAACGCUGGCGGCGGGCCUAACACAUGCAAGUCGCACGGGAAAGCGCCUUCGGGCGUGAGUAUAGUGGCGGACGGGUGAGUAACGCGUAUGCAACCUACCCUUGAGCGGGGGACAAUCACGGGAAACCGUGGCUAAUACCGCAUAAAAUCUCAGCUGCGCCUGCAGCCGAGAUCAAAGCCUUUGGGCGCUCUUGGAUGGGCAUGCGUCGGAUUAGUUUGUUGGUGAGGUAGAGGCUCACCAAGGCAACGAUCCGUAGCUGGUCUGAGAGGAUGAUCAGCCACACUGGCACUGAGACACGGGCCAGACUCCUACGGGAGGCAGCAGUGGGGAAUCUUGCACAAUGGAGGAAACUCUGAUGCAGCCACGCCGCGUGGAGGAAGACACCCCUAUGGGGCGUAAACUCCUUUUCUGCCGGAAGAAAACCCUGGUCUCCAGGGCGUGACGGUACGGCAGGAAUAAGCACCGGCUAACUCCGUGCCAGCAGCCGCGGUAAUACGGAGGGUGCAAGCGUUGUCCGGAACUACUGGGUGUAAAGGGUGCGCAGGCGGGGCAGCAAGUCAGUGGUGAAAGCCUACGGCUUAACCGUA
rnacentral:rRNA from 1 species